rnacentral:rRNA from 1 species
GGGCCCGCACAAGCGGUGGAGCAUGUGGUUUAAUUCGAUGAUACGCGAGGAACCUUACCAGGGCUUAAAUGUAGUGGGACAGGUCUAGAGAUAGACCCUUCUUCGGACUCAUUACAAGGUGCUGCAUGGUUGUCGUCAGCUCGUGCCGUGAGGUGUCAGGUUAAGUCCUAUAACGAGCGCAACCCCCUAUCGUUAGUUGCCAGCGAGUAAUGUCGGGAACUCUAACGAAACUGCCAGUGCAAACUGUGAGGAAGGUGGGAUGACGUCAAAUCAUCACGGCCCUUACGUCCUGGGCUACACACGUGCUACAAUGGCCGGUACAGAGAGCAGCCACUUCGCAAGAAGGAGCGAAUCCUUAAAACCGGUCUC